rnacentral:rRNA from 1 species
GAUGAACGCUGGCGGCGUGCCUAAUACAUGCAAGUCGAGCGAACGGACGAGAAGCUUGCUUCUCUGAUGUUAGCGGCGGACGGGUGAGUAACACGUGGAUAACCUACCUAUAAGACUGGGAUAACUUCGGGAAACCGGAGCUAAUACCGGAUAAUAUUUUGAACCGCAUGGUUCAAAAGUGAAAGACGGUCUUGCUGUCACUUAUAGAUGGAUCCGCGCUGCAUUAGCUAGUUGGUAAGGUAACGGCUUACCAAGGCAACGAUGCAUAGCCGACCUGAGAGGGUGAUCGGCCACACUGGAACUGAGACACGGUCCAGACUCCUAAGGGAGGCAGCAGUAGGGAAUCUUCCGCAAUGGGCGAAAGCAUGACGGAGCAACGCCGCGUGAGUGAUGAAGGUCUUCGGAUCGUAAAACUCUGUUAUUAGGGAAGAACAUAUGUGUAAGUAACUGUGCACAGCUUGACGGUACCUAAUCAGAAAGCCACGGCUAACUACGUG